AUGUCCAAAAAAAAGGGACCAGUAUUUCAGUGCCUAGGUUACUGCACAUUUUCGGAUUGUCCCGUUUCUGUGGAGGUCACUGUAAAGGAUGAAAGUACCCUUAAGGCCUGGGUGACACUUCAGGGAGAGGUGGUGUGUCACAGUAUGGACGAAUUGAGAAGACGACCCGUACGGGCUGAUAACAGAGAAAUAUUUGCAAAACAACUGGAAUCAGUGCUUCCAAGAGCCUUACAUUUGCAGUGUCUGGACAAAAUACCACCUAAGGUUUUUGAGUCAGGAUGUAGAGACCAGGCACCUACAGCAGCUGUCCUCAAAAACAUUGCCUUCGACACACGGAAGAAAUGCAGAAGGCAUGAAAAUGAAAUAUUAAGUUUGGAAAAAAUGGUGGAGGACAAAACAGAUGACGAAAAUGAAGUUCUUCAAAAGGUGCUCUUGCACCCAAGAGGAGUAAUGUUGUGGUCCAAAAACACAAUAAGACUUUUCCAUCAACGAUGCAGGGAUGACAUAGUGUAUCUUGACGCCACAGGAAGCAUUGUUAAAAAACCACAAGGAAAAUCUGCUCCUUUUUAUGUGUAUGAGCUGGUGGUGAGGAAUCCUACCAAAGGAGGCUCCCCUAUACCUGUUGCAACAUACGUCACCUGCCAACACACCACUGCAUCAGUGUUAUUUUUUAUGGAGUCAUUUCAAACAGAUUACUACAAGUUGUUUGGGAGGAAAUCUGUGAGGAGGCCUGUGAUGAUUAUGUGCGAUGGGUCGCUUGUUCUGAUGCAAGUUGUUGCCUACAGUUUUUGUAAACUUCCUUUGGAUGUCUUGAUCAGUAUGUACUAUGACAUUGUCACAGGACAGUUGAAAGAUGUAAUCAAACUGCCAAUUCUUCAUCGCUGCCUGAGCCACAUCAUGAAGAAUGCUAAAGUGUUCUGCAGGAAACAUUCCCCCAAACACUACAGGCUGUCUAUGCAUCUUUUUGGCCUCUUGACAAGUGCUGCCACACUGAUGGAAAUGGAUGACAUAAUUACCAGCAUGACAGUACUGUUCUCAAGCCCUCAGAGUGGUGAAAAUGUGGAAAAACACUUCCAAAAUCUUCAGAACAGCAUGCAAACAAUCAGCUUUUAUGAAGGAAGUGACCGUGCAGAAAAUGACUUGGAGAUCACCACUGGACCCACAACAUUUCAGAGUCAUUUUGAGGAAAUAGUGGCAAAUGCACCUGUAGAUGAAAAGGGGGAGCCAAAUGAGUAUUAUUCACGUACAUUCAUGCCAAACCUGGUAAAAUACUUCCUACCUCAGGCACCUUUGUGGUCUGGUCUCAUGCUGGGCCAGUGGAAGACCAAUUUUUGGUUACUUACCCUGCUGUCCAACAACAGUCCAAUUCUAGCAACUGUGGCUUGUUUGCAAUAGCAUUUGCUUUUGCAUUAUGCUGUAACCUGAGGCCAGAAAACUGCCAGUUCCGCGAGGGCAGAUUGAGAGCAGAACUUGUAUCUUCUUUCCAGAAAGGACGAAUGCUUUUCAAAACAGAGCCAAGACUUAACAAGGCAAAAUCCACACAAACACUUGUGAAUGUGUACUGCUUAUGCAGGACUGCACACUGCGCUGAAGUCAUGGUUGAAUGUACUUCAUGCAAGAGGUGGUAUCAUCCAAACUGUGCACAGAUACCCCAAAAUGCAAUUACUGGGGAUGAUGACUGGCACUGCCCCAAUUGUACUGGCAAAAUCUAAAACUUUUUUUUUUUCUCUGAAGCCAAUGUGGGAAGUAAAAUGAGUGUAUGGGAAGUAUGGUUCAUUACUGUUUACAUUGCCUAUACAUUGCUUUAAAUAUUAAAAUUGUUAUUGUUUCACUAGUAUUUAAAUUGUUGUCAAUUCAUUUUAAUAUAGCCAUGUAAAGUUAAGUUUUGCAAAUGUCAAGUGUGAAGUAAUUUUAUUAGUACUUUAAGUAUUUUACAAUUUUCAUUAUAUGCACAGUCUCAGGAACACGUCUUUUUAAUUAUGUUUGUGAAUGUCUGUUUUUUUCUGUUUAAACAGUUUGUGAAGUCAGUUGCACUUGUUAGUGUAGUUACUAAUUUUUUAUGUUAAAUAAAAUAAAAUUGCUUUAAUACACAAAUUGUUUUUUUUUUUUUUUAGAUCCUACAGUAUCUCACUAAAUACACGAAAAAUAUAAAGCAAACUACAUUUUCAAACAAAAAUUUAAAAUUAAUCACUUGGUCUUAAAACUUCAUUUUCAGAAAUAAAUGUACAAUUUCUUGUGAUGAACAGGCUGAAUGAAACUAUGAAUGUUGUUUAUUAGAAAUGCUCUAAGAUGUUAAGGUAAAACAGAACAUCUCUACUGUAGUUGGAUUAUGAAUGUAAGUUGAAAGGAAACAUGACAACAAUCAGUCAACUGUCUUUAAAUGGCUUAGUCCAGACUUAAAGAUUUUUAUGGGUGUUUCAAAAUUGUGCAUGACGUAAGUGUUAAAGUGUUAAAAGAAACUGUAAUAGGAAUCAAUUGACAGAAUGAGAAAACCUAUGAAGGAACUAAUUUUAUGAGUGUUUGAAAAUGGGACAUGGUGUAAAAGUGCUUAUGCUUGGGGUGAAUUAGGCUUUAGUUUUCUCCAAAACUAUACAGUAAAAAUAUUUGAAAAUUAACACAGUAAUGGUCAGAGUGACUGUGAAUAUGAAUCCACUGAAAGAAAGAGCAAACCUAUAAAGCAAAGAUUUUUAUGAGUGUUUGAAAAUGGGUAAUGGUGCAACAGCUAGAAUACAGUUUGAUUUUCGCAUGAUUUGCCAUUACUUUUUUCCAAAACUAUACAGUAGAAAUAUUUGAAACUUAAUACAGUAAUGGUCAGAGUGACUGUGAACAGGAAUCAACUGAAAGAACAAACAAAACUAAAAAGCAAAGAAUUUUAUGAGUGUUUGAAAUGGGAUAUGGUGUAAAAGUGCUUAUGCACUUAGAUGCUUGGUGUGAAUUUGGCUUUAGUUUUCUCCAAAACAAUACAGUAAAAAUAUUUUAAACUUAAUACAGUAAUGAUCAGAUUGACUGUGAACAGGAAUCAGCUGAAAGAACUAGCAAACCUAUAAAGCAAAGAAUUUUAUUAGUGUUUGAAAAUGGAACCUGGUGUAAAAGUGCUUAUGCACUUAGAUGCUUGCGGUUGAAUUUGGCUUUAGUUUUCUCCAAAACUAUACAGUAAAAAUAUUUGAAAAUUAACUCAGUAAUGGUCAGGGUGACUGUGAAUAAGAAUCCACUGAAAGAAAGAGCAAACCUAUAAAGCAAAGAUUUUUAUGAGUUUUUGAAAAUGGGAAAUGGUCCAACUGCUAGAAUGCACUUUAGUUUUUGGAGAGAAUUUGCCAUUAAUUUUUUCCAAAACUAUACAGUAAAAAUAUUUGAAAAUUAACACAGUAAUGGUCAGAGUGACUGUGAAUAGGAAUCAACUGAAAGAACAAGCAAACCUAUGAAGCAAAUAAUUUUAUUAGUGUUUGAAAAUGGGAUAUGGUGUAAAAGUGCCUAUGCACUUAGAUGCUUGGGGUGAAUUUGUCUUUAGUUUUCUCCAAAACUAUACAGUAAAAAUAUUUGAAACUUAAUACAGUAAUGGCCAGAGUGACUGUGAAUAGGAAUCCACUGAAAGAAUAAGCAAACCUAUAAAGCAAAGAUUUUUAUGAGUGUUUGAAAAUGGGUAAUGGUGCAGCAGCUAGAAUACACUUUGAUGUUGGUAUGAUUUUGCCAUUAAUGUUGUCCAAAACUAUACAGCAAAAAUAUUUGAAAAUUAACACAGUAAUGGUCAGAGUGACUGUGAAUAGGAAUCCACUGAAAGAAUAAGCAAACCUAUAAAGCAAAGAUUUUUAUGAGUGUUUGAAAAUGGGUAAUGGUGCAGCAGCUAGAAUACACUUUGAUUUUUGGCAUGAUUUUUGCCAUUAAUUUUUUUCCAAAAACUAUACAGUAAAAAAAUAUUUGAAAAAUUAACACAGUAAUGGUCAGAGUGACUGUGAAUAGGAAUCCACUGAAAGAACGAGCAAACCUAUGAAGCAAAGAUUUUUAUGAGUAUUUGAAAAUGGGAUAUGGUGUCAAAAUGGUUAUGCACUUAGAUGUUUGGGGUGAAUUUGUCUUUAGUUUUCUCCAAAACUAUACAGUAAAAAUAUUUGAAACUUAAUACAGUAAUGGCCAGAGUGACUGUGAAUAGGAAUCCACUGAAAGAAUAAGCAAACCUAUAAAGCAAAGAUUUUUAUGAGUGUUUGAAUAUGGGUAAUGGUGCAGCAGCUAGAAUACACUUUGAUUUUGGC
ensembl:lncRNA